GUCGCUAGAUGGCAGCAUAAGACAACAAAUCGUAAAGGAAACGGAAACGCAUUCUGUGCGUGUUAUUCAGCUAAUAAAUACUUCCUAGCACCCUAUAUAACGCGAUUUGGACUGCGUGCGUGAUUGUGUGUGACACUUUCACUUUCACUUUCACCAUCCUACAAUAUAAUGGUCACACAACGAGGGCGCCAUUUUACUGUGUUCAGGGGCAUGCCGCAUUUUCUUGUACUUCACCUGGAAAGAUGCUGAGUCUUACUGAUAUUGUACAAGUGAAAGGUCAGCUCUAAUUGGCUUAAUGGAUUGUGUCGAGCAACAACAAGCAGAUCCCGACUCUGUCAAGAUCUGACGGAAAGCCAAACAGAUCAACAAGUCAGCCGAAGAACAGACAAGUACUAGACACAACACACACACACACACACACACACAUGAUCAAGUUUUGUGCUGUUGUGUGACCCAUGACCACCGUUUAAAGACACGUAGUUUGAUGUUUACACUUUGGAUGAGCGUUGAUGCUGUGAUGUAUCAUGCUGCACCUGCAUCAUAACAUCCAUACCAGCCUGGGUAUUACUCGCUAUGUACAUACGUAGAUGACGUGGCUAAUAGUAUAAUAGCGUGGUGUUUACACAGACGCAUGACUGCAGAGGCUUUUAUUUUGACAGAGUAAUGGAUGGUCCAGAGAUGGUCGACAGUAUCAGAGCACCGCUGUUGUGUCUACAAGGUCGUCUCUAACAGCACAUGCUACUUUCAUUGCUCAAGCCGACCGAUGACAGACUGAGUGCUCACUUUGGUCUGAUUUAGGGCCCCGUGGUUUCCACCUCCGCCCAAUCACGGAAUUGGACAAUGAAAACUGAAAUGACUGCUAAAUGUGGGAGGAAUGAACACAAAAAAGGAACCCAAAAAAAGUCACUCUACUAAACGUGUCAAAAAGUUGUCGAGAAACCUCGAACACGCCUCUCUUACGGUAGCUUAGUUUAGCAGAGCAUGCUAGUACCACUCAGGUCACCAGACUAGUCAAGAGUUCUACUAUUUGUGUGAAUUACAUCAUCCAUCCAUCUCUUUUACGGCAGUUACAGACCCUAAACAAUGUCUGCUACGCAUUUAA